CUGAGCAUUCUAACCAUGAUUUACAACUUUACACCAGUUCUAGUGUAUUACCAAAAAGAGUACGUCUUGAUUACUAGAAACAGGCAAUUGAAGACAGAAAUACUAAAAACACCUGUGCAGAACUAUACAUCCUCAUGUGUAUCAUAUAGAUUCCUCUAACUCAAGUAGGUAGAAGAAAUCAGUAAAUUGGUGAAAGGGGUUGACAGCAUUUGCCAAAGGCAAGCAUACUUACAAUGCAAGGUAACCCGCUUUCACCGCAAAUGUAUAGAUGAUAGUUUUGUAAUAAGUUUGUACAGAUUUUCAGAUAAGAGGACUUCAUAAGUAAGCCUUUUCCUCUUUCUGGCUUGUACCAGUCAGCAGAUACAAUUGGAGGAAACAUCAGAUUUAGAAGUAAUGGUUCAACAUUAGGUUCUAAUAACACUUGGAAGUUCUUGAAUAUACUUCAGGAAGAGGAGGUGUCUUAAAGGGCCUUACUUCUGUAAGUAAUUAGGAUUAAAAGGUGGUAACUCGUCAAUGUGGGCUCUUAUGUGUGGUCUGACAGUUUUCCUGACAUGAAAUCAAUUCUAUUUUCUGCACUUUGACAUCACACACCACGCAUUUGUGCUCAAAAUUACUGGCUGCCUGUGUCAUUUGUAGCUUACAGUCAGCACACCACAACAAGUGCUGGCAUGGAAAGUUGGCCCACAACACCCGACGCUGGUUGCACCCAAAGCACCUUCCCUGUACGAUGUUUGCCUUGUAGUUAUCAUAAAAAUCAAAUUCACGAAGAAAGAACAGAGAUGAAUUAUUCCUUUUACUGGCAAGGACCUCCAAAACCAAAUGUCUUUCUUGAGGACUGUGCUUCAUCCCCUUAAACCUGUCUCCCAAUUCUCCUCUAUCAAAAGUAUCUCCUGUGUCACCAUCACAUUCAACAAAAAGCCAUGGUCGAGCAUGAAAGAUUAGGUCUGGCUUCAAAAAUUGAAGAAAAGUGGAGUGCACACUAACUGAUGUGUCCUCUGGAUUCUCUUCAAGCAUCUGAUGGGACAACAUAGAGCUGCUAUCAGUCGAGUCACUAUUCUCAUUAGAGACCAAUGGAACAUCCUGAAAGCCCUUAGCUUUGCUAGAAUCACCAUUACUACUGCACUCAAUUGCAUCACAAGAUGGAUUACAUAUAUUUAAAGGUUGAACUGGUUGACAAUGAGGCUUAGAAAGGCUAGGCAAAAGUAUCAUGUGAUUGGCAGGUUUCUGUUUGCCUAUAGGAACAAACUUAAUGUGACAAAGGUCUGGUAAAGAUCUCAUGAAUUCACUAAGCUUUGAGAAGCCAAGAGAGGCAUGGUCCAAUUCCAGGCCAAAAGCAGCCCUGAAAUCAGCUUUCAGGGAUGAGAGAGCAUAUACUCCAUCCCUCAUUGCCACCUGCCGUAAAAAGUGAGGGAGCCACUUCUUGAAAGUUAUGAGCCAUGUGGGCAUGCCUUCUUUGUGCAUUUGAGAUUCAUUAGAACAUGCCUUUGGUUGACCACAUAUUAGUGUAUCGACCCAAGACAUUAGCAUUGAUUUACCCUCUUCUGUGGUAUUAAAGCUGGGCAUCUCUUCUUCAUUCAUCUCAUUAGGCGACUGCCAACUGAGCAGGUCCCUUUUUACCUUCUCACUGGGUGUCUGCCAAUCAGCCAUCUCCUUUGUAUCCUUCUCUUUAAUCAUCUUCUCUUGUGGUAGAUGCUCAUCACUCUGUUCUUGUUCAUGUUGUUGAGGUGAUUUCUGAAGCCCAGCUGAUAAAAGGCACUUUGGAAGAGCACUUUUGAUCUCAAUUUGCUUGCCCAUAACAGAGACAUAGCGUGCUUCAACAGCUGCUGUAACAGAUUUCUUGCGUUUAAAGGUGACAAAACCAAAUCCUCGGGAUUGUAUCUUGUCUCCCGUUAGAGCUCCCACAACACUGGCAUCAGCCACCGAACCAAAUUUCUCUUCAAAAAAUUUGUGCAAUAAAUCAGAAUCCACGGAAGGAGGUAAGCCUCCUACAAAGAUUUUCUGUUCAAGGUCCCGUGCCGUGGAUGAAUGAAUUAUUUCUCUUCCCUGCUUCAUCUGCCUGGGCUCCUGUUCAGCAUGCACAUAAAAGCACUUACUGCCUCUAACACAUCCAGUAGGAGAUUCAAAGUAUUUGCAUAUCUCUGUCUUCACACUUGAGCAAGUUCUGUAAGUUGUUUUGCCUUCAUCUUUCAUAUCAAAAAGCUCUUCACAAGUCUCUGCGAUCACCUCAUCUCCUUGUAACCAUGCAGUAUACUUCUGUUGAAAAGGGAAAGCACGAUUUGUGAGGCUAAUAUUCAUUGGGUUAAGCAAGAAACGCAUGUCUUGUGACUCUGCCAAGUCUACAGGUCUUUGCUUUCGCAAGUUAAAGACCUCUGUACUUGCUCCCCAGCGCAGAAGAACCUCAGCACAGUCUUUACAGUCAUUCUUCACGGCAAAAAACAGUGGGGUUUCUUUUGUUUCUGUUUUAGAGUUGACGCAAUCUGGGUCUUCCAGUAAAAGGACCUUAAGUGCAUGCAAAUUACCAUUUGCAGCAGCAAGAUGAACUGCAGUUAGCCCCAAUUUAUUUUUUUGGUUCACUCGGGCACCAUGCUUCAGCAGGAGCCACAUAAUCUUGAUCUGCUGAAAACAUGAUCCCUUAGAUGUCUUGAGGCACCAAUGAAGAGCAGAGUUCCCUUCAGUAUCCACAUCAUUUACAUCUAUGUUAGUCUUCAGAAGCAGUUUAAUAAUGGCUUCAUCUGCAGCCUGCGACGCCAAUAUUAAGGGUGAUGUCACCUUCUUUUCCGUACAACCGGUGGUUUGGGCAACGGCGUCGAAUAGCUGAAGCAACUCAAUCUCGCAGAGCAAAAGCUUCCUUUUCCCGGCGCUCUCACUCUUGGUUGGGGCAAUCUUUCGUUUGACGGCACUCAGCGAUGUCGCAGAGCGACUCAGGCUUAAUGCCUCUCUAAUCACCCGUUCGUAAAUCGUGGUCUUCUCUUUGGAAUUUAAAUCUGCAUCGUGCAACUCCAAAAUCGACUCAUUUACUUUCUGUGCCGCUACUACUAACAGAGCAGCUAAAUCCACAACACGCCCUCCAAUGGCGCUUGCAUACGCCACCUCGUCGACUUCCUUUGUCUUCUCGCUAAGAAGUUUUAUAGCGGUCAAAUCCUGUAGAGAUUAAACAACAUUCAAUUGAUCGAUCGAGUGUGGCUAUUAUUACUG
rnacentral:misc_RNA from 1 species